rnacentral:rRNA from 1 species
AUUGAACGCUGGCGGCAGGCCUAACACAUGCAAGUCGAGCGGGGUUUUCGGACCUAGCGGCGGACGGGUGAGUAAUGCGUAGGAAGCUGCCCGAUAGAGGGGGAUACCAGUUGGAAACGACUGUUAAUACCGCAUAAUGUCUACGGACCAAAGUGUGGGACCUUCGGGCCACAUGCUAUCGGAUGCGCCUACGUGGGAUUAGCUAGUUGGUGAGGUAAUGGCUCACCAAGGCGACGAUCUCUAGCUGGUUUGUGAGGAUGAUCAGCCACACUGUAACUGAGACACGGUCCAGACACCUAGGGGAGGCAGCGGUGGGGAAUAUUGUACAGUGGGCGCAAGCCUGAUCCAGCCAGGCGGCGUGUGUGAAGAAGGCCUUCGGGUUGUAAAGCACUUUCAGCGAGGAGGAAGGGUGGUGUGUUAAUAGCACAUCAUUUUGACGUUACUCGCAGAAGAAGCACCGGCUAACUCUGUGCCAGCCGCCGCGGUAACAC